rfam:Clostridium bolteae CAG:59 genomic scaffold, scf126
AACAAUGAAAAGGGGUGCUGGAGUGGAAUCCGGCUGAGAUGGAAUAUGUUCUGAACCCUGAUACCUGAUCUGGAUAAUGCCAGCGUAGGAAGCCUGCAGAAGAUGUGAAU